rnacentral:rRNA from 1 species
GACGAACGCUGGCGGCGUGCCUAAUACAUGCAAGUCGAGCGCAGGAAACUGACGGAACUCUUCGGAGGGAAGGCAGUGGAAUGAGCGGCGGACGGGUGAGUAACACGUAAGGAACCUGCCUCAAGGAUUGGGAUAACUCCGAGAAAUCGGAGCUAAUACCGGAUAGUUCAACGGACCGCAUGGUCCGCUGAUGAAAGGCGCUCCGGCGUCACCUUGAGAUGGCCUUGCGGUGCAUUAGCUAGUUGGUGGGGUAACGGCCCACCAAGGCGACGAUGCAUAGCCGACCUGAGAGGGUGAUCGGCCACACUGGGACUGAGACACGGCCCAGACUCCUACGGGAGGCAGCAGUAGGGAAUCUUCCACAAUGGGCGAAAGUCUGAUGGAGCAACGCCGCGUGAGUGAUGAAGGUUUUCGGAUCGUAAAACUCUGUUGUAAGGGAAGAACACGUACGAGAGGGAAUGCUCGUACCUUGACGGUACCUUACGAGAAAGCCACGGCUAACUACGUGCCAGCCGCCGCUGUAACAC